rnacentral:miRNA from 1 species
UAUAUGGACUUUUCUGAUACAAUG